UGUGAAAUUCAUAGUUAACCUGGAAGACCAGCGCUGUACUGUUGUAUUGUUGAUAUGAUUGUUAAUUUUGGAUAUGAUGUGAUCGUUGUACUUAACAAUAGCUGAACGAUGAUAUUCCGAACAACUUUCCUAGCCCAUGCAUCUCUCCAGUUUGCUACUCCCUCCGUCCCAAUACAAAUACAACAUAGUAUAUACUAUGUGACUUAUUCUACUAUAAAUCUUGACAGCCGUUUAUCCUAAUCAGCAUGUACUCGAUCCUCAGCGUAUACUGUUGAGGAUAUGGAUCGCUUCAUCGCUCUAUCAUCAGUUCAUCACUCAAUCGAAGCAGCGAAGGACGCGGGGACGCCGUCACAUCAUCACAAGUAACGCGUGUGCACGCUCAUCUUUCUCAUGACGCUGAAUGGCAGAUACACACGCAGCUGCUUGCACGCCACUGCACAUAUUGACACACGGAGUAUAUAUAUAUGUGCGCGCCACCAGCUGAUCCAUUUUCAUCUGCCAAUUCUGCCAUGGCGACCGCAGGAAUAUCUUUUUCCCCGGUUGGUCCCGUCCCGUUCGAGGACGUCGACGGCGAGCUGCCGGCCUCCGAGCGGCCGGCGCCGGAAGGGAUUGACGACGGCGACGACCACCUCGCCGACAUGGUCUCGUCUCUCCCGAGCAAGAUGGAGGUCAACCUGCCGCUCAAGCUACGCCUCUACCGGGGCUUCUGGCUGGCGGAGAUCCACGUCCCGGCGGCCGUGGCCCUGCGGCGGCGCUUCGUUCCCCGCCCCGACGACGUCAUCGUGGCCAGCCUCCCCAAGUGCGGCACCACGUGGCUCAUCGCCCUCACGUUCGCCACCAUGGCACGCCACGUGCACCACCCUCCCACCUCCGCCCCCGCCUCCGCCUCCAGCCACCCGCUCCACCGCCUCAACCCGCACCAGUGCCUCCCUUUCCUCGAGGGCCUCUUCGCCCCUGUGGUGAAGAGGCCAAACUCGACGCACUCCCCUCUCCGCGCCUCAUCAACACGCAUAUGCCACUCGCUAUACUACCGAGCGCCACGCCAGCCACUACCACAGCUAACUCCUCUGGCAACAGAGGAGGCUACAAAAUUAUCUACAUCUGUCGGGAACCCAAGGACAUGAUCGUGUCCAUGUGGCACUACACCCGGCAGCUGAUGCCCGACGUGUCAUUCGCCGAAACCCUCGAGUCCUACCGCGACGACGACGGUGGUGCCAAGAUAUACGGGCCGUUCUGGGAUCACAUCCUCGGCUACUGGCACGCGAGCACCGAGGUGCCGGACAACGUGCUCUUCCUGCGGUACGAGGAGUUGCUGCGUGACCCUGCCGGGAACGUCCGGAAGAUGGCGCGGUUCGUCGGGCUGCCGUUCUCCGAGGCGGAGGAGGAAGCCGGCACGGUUGAAGCCAUCGUGGAGCUCUGCAGCCUCGACCGUAUGAGGGGAUUCGAGGCGAACAGAACGGGUUACGUUGAUGCGCAGCGAAAGAUUCCACGUGAGACCCUUUUCCGGAAGGGCGUGGUCGGUGACUGGGUGAACCACAUGACGCCGGAGAUGGCGCGCCGUGUGGAUGACAUCGUCGCUGACAAGUUUAGUGGCACAGGACUCACGUUUAAAUGAGAUUUACAGCUAUGUGCAAACAUAGAUAGGUCAGUGAAGUUGCUUGUGAAUAGAAUGUAUCUCGCAAAUACAACUAUUUUCUCGCCGUU